GCAUAAUAGCUCAGUUGGUAGAGCAUGAAACUCCUAAACUCGGGUUGUGGGUUUGAGUCCCACGUUGGGUGAACG